rnacentral:rRNA from 1 species
AUUGAACGCUGGCGGCAGGCCUAACACAUGCAAGUCGAACGAGUGGCGGACGGGUGAGUAAUGUCUGGGAAACUGCCUGAUGGAGGGGGAUAACUACUGGAAACGGUAGCUAAUACCGCAUACCAUAAGAUGUGCCCAGCUGGGAUUAGCUUGUUGGUGGGGUAACGGCUCACCAAGGCGACGAUCCCUAGCUGGUCUGAGAGGAGGACCAGCAAAACGGGAACUGAGAAAGGGUCCAGACUCCUAGGGGAGGCAGAAGUGGGGAAUAUUGCACAAUGGGCGAAAGCCUGAGGCAGCCAUGCCGCGUGUAUGAAGAAGGCCUUCGGGUGGUAAAGUACGUUCAGCGGGGAGGCGUUACCCGCAGAAGAAGCACCGGCUAACUCCGUGCCAGCAGCCGCGGUAAUUC